ensembl:lncRNA
AUGGCCCAACAAUUUAAUGAGAUGCUGCAGAAAGGAAGUAUCAGUGAAUGGCUAACAACUGGAAGUACAUACCUGAUACAAAAGGAUCCCGCAAAAGGAUCACCACCAGGAAACUACAGGCCAAUAACGUGUCUGCCCACUAUGUUUAAACUACUGACUGGCAUCAUGGCUGAUAGAAUUCAAGACUAUCUUGAAGAAAAAAACAUCUUGCCAGAUGAACAGAAAGGCAACAAACGGAAAAGCAGGAGCACAAAAGACCAGUUGUUAUUUCCAUCUGUUCCAUUUUGUUCUGUGAGAAUUUUCCUUCAAACUCCUUUAUCCACCCAGUGUUUUUGUUGUAGUUUUUAUUAUUUUCCCAAAGUUCUUUCCAGAAUUUCGUUGUUGCAAUUUUCUCUGGCUUUAUGGUUACUGUGUUUGUUGUUUGGUUCAGGCUCUGUUAGAAACGUCUUUGGUCUGAUUGAAACAGUUGGUUUUGUCUGUACUGGAUGAUUCUGGCUUCAUACCUUUCAAUUUUUCUGGCUGUUGCUGUAAUUUGUUCUUUCACGAUUUCCAAAGCUUCUUCAAUUUUUCUGGUGUUCAGCCAGUACUUUCGGAUCAGGUAUUGCUUGAUUUUGUCAUUCUUCAGUUUCUUCUCUUUUAUAUUUUUCAGGUUACUUGCAUCUGAUCUAAGCUUUUUGAUUUUCAACUCUAGCCUGACCUUCCACUUUGUUUUUCCAGUCGAUUUUCUUUGGGGCUGCCUAGGUUGUAGGAGCCCAAGCUCUUCUGUUACUAUCACUGCUGCACUGUAGGCAUACUGGUUUGUUUGUUCAAUUGAUGUUAUUUGGACAGUGGAGAGUACUGUAUUCACAUCUUUCAUGAGAGGCGCCAGGUGUCUCUUGGGCACUGUUGUUAGAGUUGGGAGCCGUUUUCUUAUGGCAUUUGCUGCAGCAUGAGCCAUGAUCUUAUCCUUGAGCUCUUGUUGUCUUGCUGUCAAGCUUCCUGGUGGUUCAGCAGAUGUUUCAAGUGCUGGUUUUUCAAAUUCUUGCAAAAGCUCCACACUUCCUUCUGGUUCAAUCAGUUCCACCAUUCCAAGUGUUGCUGGAGUCUCUGCUGCUGUCUGUGCUGUUACUUUGCAAAUUUUCUGGAUUUCUUCGAGUUCAACUUCACUGAACACUUUGUUUCUGAUUAUGAAUCUUCGUUGGUCAGCCAGUCGGGGUUCUGUUAUCUGUGAGUCAGGGUACUUUUGUUUCCAUAGCUGAUGCAUCCUUUUUUGGUAGCCACGCCUUUGAGGUUCAGAUUUGUAGUAGCAUUUCAUAAUUGUGAGGUUUUUUGGCAUUGUAUAUUUCUGCCACUUCUGUGACUGUUCAUUUGGGUUUUGAUGAUUCCGUAGCCCACUUGUCGAUGGAUGUCCAGAAUCAGCAGCAUCCACCACGGUCCUUUUUAUCCUGGGCGACGACCGAGCCAGUAUAGACUUCAUUUGGGUUUGAUUCUCCAUAAUGUUAAUGGGUUAGGUGCUCUUAGUUCUGCUCCUCAGCUGAGGCCUCUCUGGCUUGGUUGGACCUGCCGGUAGUUACACUACCGCCAGCACAGCCCUCAGUCAUCAUUGGAGCAGUUAAGCCCCCCCCCACCACGUCAAGGUGGCACCUGCGGGGGGGGGGGGAAUUAUUAUUAUUAUUAUUAUUAUUAUUAUUAUUAUUAUUAUUAUUAAGGUCAGGUUCCGUGUAUAAUGAGCCCCUGGUGGCGCAGUGGAUUAAACCUCUGAGCUGCUGAACUUGCUGACCGAAUGGUCAGCGGUUCGAAUCUGGGGAGUGGGGUGAGCUCCUGCUGUUAGCCCCAGCUCCUGCCAACCUAGCAGUUCGAAAACAUCCAAAUGUGAGUAGAUCAAUAGGUACUGCUCCGGCGGGAAGGCAAUGGCGCUCCAUGCAGUCAUGCUGACCACAUGACCUUGGAGGUAUUUACGGACAACGCCAACUCUUCGGCUUAGAAAUGGUGAUGAGCACCAACCCCAGAGUCGGACACGACUAGACUUAAUGUCAGGGGAAAACCUUUACCUUUUCCUCCGUGUAUAAUAUAACCACCUUCCUGGCCUCAAACCAGUUCUAGAACUGUAACUGUAAUCACCUGGACAGCAAAACCCAUUCCUCCCAAACCAGUUCUAAGCUGCAUUAUAAUGUGACUGCAGAUGUGCACUUCUUCUCUCUUCCUCUCUCUCUCUCUCUCUUAAAUAUUGGAAAAAUUAUAUAUAUUUAACAGCAUUUAUAAGACAAGCCUUACUUUUCUGGACCAAAGCGACUUAAUCAAUCCAACAAUGCAGAAAAUUCUUUGUGCCUGUUAGAGCUCAGGUGCUUACAUUAUGGUAACAAUGGACAAAAACAAGGCUCCUUUUUAUACUUGGCACUUAAAGCAUCUUUAAAUCUCUCAGUCUACUCAUGUUAACAUCUGAUCAUUGUCAGUAUGAAACAGGAAACAGGGAGCGCUUUUGUAAUGCAAAUGAACAUUCUGACCAAAGGAGAUUUUACAUUUACAUGACAAACAAAUUGAAGGAAGUGCUGCUCUGAACCUCAAGUGAAAGCAUAGCUACUCAAAGCUAUACUACAUGUGAAGUUUGUCUCCUGGUGUGAUCUUGUGUAACUGCUUUUUCUUUAACAAAUAGCAUAUUAUGGUGUGUGUGUAUGUGUGUGCAUAGUAGAGAGAAGCGGGUGGUUUGAGCCACAUUGGAAUUGUGCUGUAGCAUUUGUGCCUUCCAACCUCCUUAUUAGGAUCCUUUUCUCUGUGUCUACUUUUCUAAUGGGGGGAAUGUGCUAACUGUCCCCAGGAGGGAGACAAGUACUUCCAUGUUACGGCAGCUCCACUGGAUGCCGGUAUGCUUCUGGGUUAAAUACAAAGUGCUGGUUAUUACCUUUAAAGCCCUAGCCGGUUCGGGCCCAGACUAUUUGGCAAACCGCAUCUCCAUGUACAAAUCUGCUUGGGGACUACGAUCAGCAGAGGAGACACUGUUCUCAGUCCCACUCCCGUCUCAAGCAUGGCUGGUAGAAACGAGAGAGAGAGGGGGGGGGAGAGAGAGAGAGAGAGAGAGAGAGGGGGGCCUUCUCCGUGAUCACCCCCUGUCUCUGGAACUCUCUCCCCAAAGAGAUGAAAAUGACCCCCUCCUUACUCUCUUCUAAAAAACAAUUCAAAA